UACGAAGGGGGCUAGCGUUGCUCAGAAUCACUGGGCGUAAAGCGCACGUAGGCGGAUCUUUAAGUCAGGGGUGAAAUCCCAAGGCUCAACCUUGGAACUGCCUUUGAUACUGGGGAUCUCGAGUCCGGAAGAGGUGAGUGGAACUGCGAGUGUAGAGGUGAAAUUCGUAGAUAUUCGCAAGAACACCAGUGGCGAAGGCGGCUCACUGGUCCGGUACUGACGCUGAGGUGCGAAAGCGUGGGGAGCAAACAGG
rnacentral:rRNA from 1 species